rnacentral:tRNA from 1 species
UCCCUGGCAGUCUAGUGGUUAAGACUCUGUGCUUCUACUGCAGGGGGCACAGGUUCAAUCCCUGGUCAGGGAA